rnacentral:rRNA from 1 species
UACGAAGGGGGCCAGCGUUGCUCGGAAUCACUGGGCGUAAAGGGUGCGUAGGCGGGUCCUUAAGUCAGGGGUGAAAUCCUGGAGCUCAACUCCAGAACUGCCUUUGAUACUGAGGAUCUUGAGUUCGGGAGAGGUGAGUGGAACUGCGAGUGUAGAGGUGAAAUUCGUAGAUAUUGGGAAGAACACCAGUGGCGAAGGCGGCUCACUGGCCCGUAACUGACGCUGAGGUGCGAAAGCGUGGGGAGCAAACAGG